GACGAACGCUGGCGGCAUGCCUAAUACAUGCAAGUUGAACGAUGAUAUUCUCUGCUUGCAGCGAAUUGAAGAGUAGCGAACGGGUGAGUAACACGUGGGGAACCUGCCCAUGAGAGGGGGAUAACAUUCGGAAACGGAUGCUAAUACCGCAUAAUGCUUUGGACCGCCUGGUCCAGAGACGAAAGACGGCUUUUGCUGUCACUCAUGGAUGGCCCCGCGCCGUAUUAGCUAGUUGGUGAGGUAAUGGCUCACCAAAGCUGUGAUACGUAGCCGACCUGAGAGGGUGAUCGGCCACACUGGGACUGAGACACGGCCCAGACUCCUACGGGAGGCAGCAGUAGGGAAUCUUCCACAAUGGGCGAAAGCCUGAUGGAGCAAUGCCGCGUGAAUGAAGAAGGUCUUCGGAUCGUAAAGUUCUGUUAUUAGAGAAGAACAAGUCAAGGAGUAACUGUCGUGACUUUGACGGUACCUAACCAGAAAGUCACGGCUAACUACGUG
rnacentral:rRNA from 1 species